GCAGGGAUGGCCGAGUGGUCUAAGGCGCCAGACUCAAGCUUGUGGCUUGCCUCUGAUCGAGGUCUAAUGGGUGUUCUGGUACUCGUAUGGGUGCGUGGGUUCGAAUCCCACUUCCUGCA
rnacentral:tRNA from 1 species